GAUGAACGCUGGCGGCGUGCUUAACACAUGCAAGUCGAACGGAAAGGCUCCUGCUUGCAGGGGUACUCGAGUGGCGAACGGGUGAGUAACACGUGGGUGAUCUGCCCUGCACUUCGGGAUAAGCCUGGGAAACUGGGUCUAAUACCGGAUAGGACCACAUUUUGGAUGGUGUGGUGGAAAGUUUUUCGGUGUGGGAUGAGCUCGCGGCCUAUCAGCUUGUUGGUGGGGUAAUGGCCUACCAAGGCGUCGACGGGUAGCCGGCCUGAGAGGGUGUACGGCCACAUUGGGACUGAGAGACGGCCCAGACUCCUACGGGAGGCAGCAGUGGGGAAUAUUGCACAAUGGGCGCAAGCCUGAUGCAGCGACGCCGCGUGGGGGAUGACGGCCUUCGGGUUGUAAACUCCUUUCGCUAGGGACGAAGCGUUUUUGUGACGGUACCUGGAGAAGAAGCACCGGCUAACUACGUG
rnacentral:rRNA from 1 species